rnacentral:sRNA from 1 species
GGUCGCGGGAGCCCCGCGGAGUGGGGGCAGCGGCUACUUCUGCUGCUGCUGUUGGGUGGCUGCUCCGGGCGCAUCCACCGGCUGGCGCUGACGGGGGAGAAGCGAGCGGACAUCCAGCUGAACAGCUUCGGUUUCUACACCAAUGGCUCCCUGGAGGUGGAGUUGAGCCUCCUGCGGCUGGGCCUCCGGGAGGCAGAAGAGAAGUCCCUGCUGGUGGGGUUCAGUCUCAGCCGGGUUCGAUCUGGCAGAGUUCACACCUAUUCAACCCGGGAUUUCCAGGACUGCCCUCUCCAGAAAAACAGUAGCAGUUUCCUGGUCCUGUUCCUCAUCAACACCAAGGAUCUGCAGUGAGUUGGGGACCGGGGGCUCGCUCAGAUGCUUCAUCUGUGUUUCCCUGGUGUGAUGCCCACAGGCACCUGGGCUGAUCAGAUGGGAUGAGAAGCAGAGAGAGAAAGCCACUUACUUUUUAGUUUUGCUUUCAAGUCUUCUGAUUGUUGGAAGGAAGGAGAGAGGGACUCAGCAGGUGUUGGUGUCUCAGGGCAGAAGACCCGGAUACAGAGGGUUGUUGUGAGAAUGAAUAACAAUUAUUCGCACA